rnacentral:rRNA from 1 species
CAGCGCCACAAGUGGCAGUCGCGAUUAUUGGGCCUAAAGCGUCCGUAGCCGGCUAGGUAAAUCCAUUGUGAAAUCGGCAUGCUCAACAUGUCGGCUUGCAGUGGAGACUGCCAAGCUCGAGACCGGGAGGAGUCAGAAGUAUGCCAUGGGGACCGGUAAAAUGGGAUAAUCCAUGGUAGACUACCAAUGGCGAAGGCAUCUGACCAGAACGGGUCUGACGGUGAGGGACGAAGGCUAGGGGAGCGAACCGGAUUAGAUACCCGAGUAGUCC